ACCCGUUCCCAUCCCGAACACGGAAGUUAAGCCCUCCAGCGCCGAUGGUACUAGGCUGGGGACAGCCUGGGAGAGUAGGUCACUGCCGGAU
rnacentral:rRNA from 1 species